UGAUCACCUGACACUAGUUUUAUUUUUUAUCACGAAGAUCUUCUUUUGAAUUGAUAGUAUUGACUAUUGACCUUGAAUAAUGCCCAUAUAGUUCUAAUGUUUUCUAUUAAGAAGGGCAGAUCCUCUGUUUGUGAAAGAUUUCAAAUGUCCCCAAUGUAAGUGUGCUUUUGCAGUCUUACUAUGAUGGAUUACUCUUGAAUAACAUACCCAGUUCUUAAAUAUUAACUGAUUUUCCUAUGUCAUUAGCAACUUCUGGAAUCAGUCAUCUUUCAUUGUGUUCUUAUUUUCCUUAAAAAUUCUUUAGUUUUAUAGGAAAUCAGUGAAUUCUUCAGAUGGCUAAAGUAAAGCUUAUGGACCACUAUUGAAUGUGGAGUAUGUUAUUUCUCUUGGCUCAUAUAGUCGUAUGGAUUUUAGCUUUGAUGAUUUGUAUACUUUGAUUAUUUUUCAAGAUUUCAUAAGAAGAGAAAAAGCUUAAUUUUGGUUCAUAUACAGAUUUGAACUUUUUCAUUGGGAGGCAUUUUUCAACAAUUUUUAUAUUGAUUGACAUCAAGUUGUUUUCCUUGAACAUAUUAAAAAAUUUGAAUAUGAUUCACUCUUUGAGGGCUUCGGCAUUGUGAUUUAUGAACUGUUGUGAAAAUAUUUUUGUUGUUGUUUGUUGGUAAACAAUUAGUAUUAGUGCAGUUUCAUUUGAUUAGUGACAUGUAUAAAGGCAAGAGAGAUUGGAAGAAGAACUUUCUAAUCUUCUUUCCAUGAAGCAGCUCUCAUCUAAAUCAAGUCAGGGAAAUUGUGAGCUUCAGAAUGAGAUAGGCAUGAUUUCAUGUUUGUAACCCAAAUCUUGGGAAUCUGUAUGGCUGUUGCUCGUAUACGAGUAUAUAUGGAAAAUGACAGCCUCGCAUGUGAAUUGCUUGCUGAGAAUUAAGUACUGCAAUUUACUUAAUUGAUAGAUUAUAAAUGAAAAUGGGAGUAGAAUCAUAAAAUAGCAUUAAGCAUUUAACUAUAGGCUAAUGGAUUUCUCCUCAGCAAUGGGCCCAGUAAAUUAUCACCUGAAGCUGGACUAGCCAACAAGGCACCAAAUUUGUGUUGGAUAGCUAAAGGUAACUAUAUAAAAAGAGCGAGGGAGCUCUUUUUACUGUAAUUUUGUUUGGUUAAGUUUUCUACAGGAAUGGUGCAUUUGAUUUAGGAUAAUAAUUAUAUGAAGAGAGAGAGGUGAAAGGGAAGAGAGAGUGGGGGAAGCAAAACACUUUAUAUCUCUUCUCUCUCGGUAUCUCUUCUCUCUCUUUUCUCUCUAUCUGCUUCCUCAAAACAAAUUUCUAUCCGAAAAGAAAACCUUGGAAGACAGAGAGGGAAGCAAAACACUUUGUUUUGUUCAUUCAUUGUUGCGUGUGGAAGUUGAGUGGGGAGAAAUUACAAGAACUGAGAUCAAGCAGUGAUUUUCAUGGCAAAAAAAUCGUUCUUCAAGAAAACAAAUCCAUGCCCAGGAGAAGAAAUUUCCGACUCUAACCAUCGAUUAAUGCUCAGCUACUAUCGAUCACACAUACAGCAGCAGUCAGCAGGUAAAUCUCUUCGUAACUUUUUUUCCCACUUUGAUUCAUUCAUUCCUUCUAUUUGAUUCUGUUCUCUCGAUAAACUUUUUCCAAUUUCCUGUCCUGUCUUUUUAAUAGAACAACAUCCUAAUGAGGUCAGAUUUUUGAGGUUCGAGGACAUGAAAGCAAAUGUCCAUAAGGUUCUUUUCCUCUCUUUCUUUUUUGAUUUUCUUGGAUUUUAUGAUGUGUGAAAAUAAUGAAUUGUGAUUGAGUUAGUAAAUAGUUUUGGGAUGGAAGAAUUUUUUGCAUUUAAAGUUUUGUUUUUUUAUAUAAAAAAAAAAAUAUUUAUAAAAGUGCUUAUGCAUAUACAUGUUUUUGAAAAUUCCAAAAUGGGCUUUUGUAUAUUUAUUUUAUAUUUUUGUUCUCUGUGCAUAAUUUUUCAUUUCCUUAAUUAUUUAGGUCAUGGUAAUGUUUUUGAUGUGUUUGGAUUCGGUUAGCUUCUUGUCAUGGCAUUAGCUAUGGUUUGCCAUGUUUGGCCAGCUGUCAUUGAGUUCAUGACAGCUUGUCCACAAUGUGUUGAUGGGUUCUUUGUCCAAUAAUUCUUUAAGUACUUUAGCCUUCUUGCUUAAGCUCCCUUUGUUAGAGAUCGUGUCUCCAUCCGUGCUGUACAACAUCUUGGCUGCUAGAAGUCACAAAUAUUUUUUAACAUAUUCAAUUGCCAAGUCUUAUCAUUUUUUGUUUUUUGUUUUUUUGUUUUUCAUAAAUGAUAGAUACCUAAAUUUAUUAAUUUGAAAACGGAAUUAGUACACUUCUAAACAUACUGCAUUUACAAUAAAGAACAAACUAACUCUAUGCUGCUUUACCAGACUAGAAACAUAAAGCUUAUCAACCAAAAGAAACUAUCAGAGUUUCAAUGACAAAUCCAACAGAACAUAAGGGCCCAAGCAUUAAUUAAUAAAAAGAAAUGCAAUGAAAUGGAGUGGAAAAGAGCAACAAACCCUUAUUUGCCUUGAACUUGCAAGAUUUUGCGUGGUCAGAACUCCUAGAGUUGUCCAUGAGGAAAAUUUAGAGUUACUCAUGCACAAUGGUUAAAACAAGAUACAACUAAUUUACACUUCAGCGAAUAUAAUACAUAAUAAUACAACUUGUAGAGUUGUUGUGCCUCCUAGUUGUUAUGAAGAAUCAUUAGUUAAAGUUUUUUUGCUUGCUUGUCUUUUAGAAAGACUUGUUAUAUGAAUUGGCAUUUGAUGGAUUGUUAAAUGACAAAGAUAUAUAUUUUCUCAAUAUCUCAUUUAAUCCAUAUUCAUUGUCACUACUAUGACAAAAUGUUCCCUUUUUAUGUUUUCUUUAUCACUUUAUCGAUGUUCUGAUGUAAUUUUAAGGAAAAUUCAAAGCUGGUAUUAGUUCUGAGAAUAUGGACUAAUGUGUACAACAGACAACAUAAAAGCAACCAGAGUAAUUUCAAUUCUUUGUUUCCAUUUGUAUUUGCUAGCUAAUUAAAAUGCCUAUACUCCUUAUCCUUUAUUCUUAAAGGAACUAAGAAAAAGAUGAGAAAAAAAGGAUUAAGGAUCUGAAUUUUGAAGUUCUUGGAUAUCUAAUCUUUCUCAAACAUAUAGAAUGAAAUUAUUCUAAUUUGGUCCUUUGUAUAUAUGGAAGCUAUUUUGGACUUUGGUUGCUUCAAUGAUGGUAUAUAUAGAAUCUCUCAGAUUUGAUUUUCACAAAAGUAAAUAUGUACAACUUCACACUUUUUCCUCUAAAUCUUCAUGCACCCUGCACUCCAAGUUAUGGAUUUUACUUCUUUUGCUUGAUUGGAUAUAAUUUUAUAGGUUUUUUCAAUUAAAAAAUAUCAGAUUAUUGCAAUUGUUAUUUUAGCUUCAGUACUAUGUGAUUGUGUUAGUUAAUUCAGUUUCAUUGUGUUAUUUCUUCUUUUUUUGGAUAGGUAACGAAAAAUUUUAUUAAAAAAAGAAAGCCAACCCGAGUACAUUGGGGAUGUACUGUGGGGGCAAAAAUCAAGAACCAAUGAUACAAUGAUCAAGUAAAACAAUAAUGGAAAAACAAGUAAAUUGCGAUAAAACCACACUCCAAACAAGGAGAGUAUGGCACAAAAAAGACUUAAUUUCUAGCAAGGACUGUUCACAUCCCUUAAAACAUCUAGCAUUCCUCUCACUUCAAAUACACCACAUCAAGCAAUGUGGCACGAGUCUCCAAAUGCUUGAGUCUUUAAACGCCGAUAUUGCGAUGAUGUCCAAACUUACCUUGCCAAGACUCAAACAACUCAAUUACCUUAUGUGGUAUAACCCAGUAAAUUCCAAACAAACAAAACACCAAAGACCACAACUCAAAUGCUAUGGGGCAAUGAAGAAGAAGGUGAUUCACUAACUCCCCACACCUCUUACACAUAUAGCACCAAUCAAGAACAAUAAUACGCUUUUUGUGAAGGUUAUCAAUUGUAAGAAUCUUCUCUAAGGAAGCAGACCAAGAGAAAAAAGCUAACCUUGGAGAAACCUUUAAAUGCCACACCAUUCUCCCAGGGAAAGAAGUAAGAGUAGGAGGGUAGAAAGAAAGAUAAAAUCCUUUAACCUCAAAGCUUCUACUCCUAGCUGGUUUCCAAAGAACCUUGUCAGGGCCAACUCCCCUCAUAGUUGAAGAGUAGACAAUGCCCAUAAAACGAUCAAAAGAUUCUUGCUCCCAAUCUUGAGGUGGACGAAAAAAUCAAACAUCCCAAUGAAUCUUUCUACCAGACCACCCCAUAACCUCCGCCACUAAAGCAUCCCUUGCCCUACUAAGACAGUAAAGUUCUAGAAAAGCCUCUUUGAGGGUACAAUCUCCACACCAUACAUGCUUCCAAAACUUCACUCUAGUACCAUCAUCCACCUCAUACCAUAGAAGUUUAGAAAAGUUCAACCAGCCACUUCUAAUAAACCUCCAGAGGCUAACACCACACACACUUGUCACUUUUUUUGUGCACCAACCAUCGCAAACAUUUCCAUAUUUUGCCUCUAUAACCUUUCUCCAUAAAGCAUUUGUUUUUAUGUUCAACCACUUGCCUAACAAGGUAGAGUUAAAACUUCUCAACCGUCUUAUACCUAGCCCCCCAAUCUGCACAAGCCUACAAACCUUAGCCAAUUUCACUAGGUGUAAUUUAGAAUCACCACUAAUAACACUCCAAAGAAAAUCUCUCUGUAAUUUCUUCAUGCGAUUAGCCACCUUCCCAGGAAUAGGAAGAAUGGAAAGAAAAUAAGUAGGUAUGGAGGAUAGAGUACUUUUAAUAAAAGUUACCUUACCCUUUUAGACAAAUAAAGCCUCCUCCAACCUGCUAGUCUCCGCUCCAUCUUCUCUAAAAUAAGAUUUCAUAUUGAGAGCUCCUUGAAUUUAGCACCUAAAGAAAGACCCAAAUAUUUCAAAGGAAAGAAUGCCUACAACCCAACAACCCCAUUAGAUCAUCUAGAUUGUGCACGUCUCCAACUAUUAAUUCUUAAAUCUGAAACCUUCUUAAAUCUAGUCAGAAUCUCCCUCAAAGUAAUUAAUUGAUUAGGAUCAGCAGCAUAAAAAAUAAGGGUGUUAUCUGCAAAUAACAGAUGAAACACCAUCAUUGAAGUACCAGUUGUACUGCGUACACAGAAUCUCGAAAUCUGACUAGCAAUUGCAGCCACCUCCAACUUCCUCCAACAUAUGGCUCAAUGCCUUCAUAACAACAUCAAAUAGCAACAGAGAUAAAGAGGAUCCCUUUGCCGGAUCCCCCUAGAGCUUCCAAAGAAAUCCAUAGGAAUACCAUUAAACAGAACGGAAUGGAAAACUUAACAGUAGAAAUGCAGUUCAUAAUCCAUUUCCUCCACUUCUCUGAAAACUCACAGCACUGGAGCAUAUACAUUAGAAAACCCCAAUUCACAUGAUCAUAUGCCUUCUCCACAACUUACACAGCACCCCUAGAAUUUUUGUCUUCAGUCUACUAUCAAUACAUUUAGCAACAAUUAAGACGGAAUCCAAAAUCUGUCUUCCUUUCACAAAUGCAUUAUGUGAUUCUAAAAUAAGUUCAUGUGCCACCCUUUGAAACCUAUAAGACAACACUUUUGAAAUAAUCUUAUAAAUCCCACAAACUAAACUAAUCGGCCGGAAAUCCUUAACCUCCAUAACAUCAACCUUUUUAGGAAUAAGGGCAAGAAAUGAAGUAUUAAGACUCUUCUCAAACAUAGCUUGAUUAUGAAAAUUCUAAAACACAUCCAUAAUCUCAUUCUUCAAAAAACUCCAUCAAGACUAAAAGAAAGCCAUGGAAAAACCAUCCAGACCCGGGGCCUUAUCACCAUUAAAGCCAUUAAUCAUUCCAAUUCAUAUGUGUUAUUUCAACAUAUCUAAAUUGGGUGUUUGCUUUUUGUUUCAAUUUUUAUUUUUAUUUUGAGUUUUAUUUUGGUAGCCUUGCUUGGGAAGUUGGAAUAAUUAUAUAGGGUGUGUUUUAUUUGUUACCUAACAUUGAUUUACUAGGUUUUAAUGUUCUAGAUCUAUAAUCUUAUCUAAUGGAAACUUUGAAGACAAAUAUUCCUUUAAUAUUCUAUUCUUUUUUAUUUAUUUUCUUGCUUAAAAGGGUGUUCACUAAAACUAAGUAAGCUAAAUAUCGUAGCUAGACAUAUAAAAUAUAAGAUGAUAUGGAUGGUUGCAAGUAUUUGAUGAAGAGCUUCAAAUAUAGCAUAUGACAACAUUCAUAGCAAAAACAUAAAAUAUUGUGAUAAUGUCUUAGCAAAACUCAAUUGCUUAUAUAAAUUAAAAAAAAAAAAAAAACUCAAUUGCUUCUUGUUGGAAAAUGAUAUAUGUAAUCAUUCUUAGAAGUUUUUAUUGAGUAGAUAUUGCCUUUAACAAAUAAGUUCUUAAAAACUAUCAUGUAGAUAUUGCCUUUAACAAAUAAGUUUUUAAAAACUAUCAUAAUAUAAUAGAGAUUCAUAUUUGAAUAACUACUCUAAAGUUGUGUAAUUAAAAUUCUUAUAUGAGUGAGAUUAGCAUUGUAUAACAUACAUUUAUUUUUGUACAUAGUUUCAUAUUUAAUAAAAAUUUUAUCUAAUUUUCUCAUUCAAGGGGCAGUCCCCACGUGCCUUGCAGUGCCUACCAAACUGUAAUAAAUAAAAAGUGAUAAAAGAACAAAAUAAAACUGAUUGUCUAUAGCUCAGAAGACAACAAAAAUACUGGCGGUAAUGGAUGUGACUGGAUAUGGUUCAAAUUUGAAUCACCUGAGCCGCGAUUGCCAUCUUCUACUUCUGAAGCCCUGCAAUCCCAACAAGAUGGUUCCAUAGUCCAUAGAUAGAUUUCUCGACAGGUAUUUUUUGGGUGCAGGUUCACAAUCUACCCCUUAAAUGGUUGAGUAAAGAAAAUGUGUUUAUAAUUGGGGAAUUACCAGCUAAGAAGAGUUAUGUUGGUACAAAUAGGAAAUAUAUGAGACUAAAAGUCGAGAUUGAUGCUAAUGAGCCCCCAUGAGACUAUGAUAUGGUUUCUAUUUGAAUUGACAUCCAUUCCUCAACCUUUGAAUCCAUUUCAAGUUUGAAUAUAUUGUGGACUUUUGCUUUGAAAAGAUCUGUUGCAUUCUCUGAUGCAUGUCAGAAGAAAAACAAGUUGAUGAAGUAAAUCAUAGAACUGAUCUUAAUUUUUUUUUUUAAAGUAAAAAAAAAAUAUAUAUGAAAGCAAUGAAAGUGGCGGCACUCCUGUGAUUUCUACAAUUUUUACCAACAAUUAUUUUGUGAUUGAUUGUAAGUACGAAGUGUUUGUUUAAGAACAAUUUAUUCAUUUUUUUUUU